UCAUCGUGAGCCGCACUCUCUCUUCCUCUUUUUUCUACAUUUUUAUUUUAUUUUGCACCCUUUCCUAUCUUUUUCACCUUUUUUUUUCACAUGCUCCACACAUCUUCCCACAUUUGAUUUUUUUUUUUUCUCUUUAAUGAGUUCCACAUGUUUGCUCUCUUUUUGACUACAUCUCUUUCUCUUCAUCAUCAUCUCUCACGCUCCAUUCUACUCCUCCCUUCCCCCCGCUCCUUCCUCCCUUUCUCAUACGCUCCUCUCUCUCAUAUUUUUCUAUAAGAGGUGGAUUUUGACUCAAAUAAGGGGGACUUUUCAGGUUUUUUUUUAGAGGGAUUUUCAGUGAACAGAAUAAAAAAAAAAUCGAUUUCUCCUUUCCGGUGAACUUUAGCCGGAAAUUACUCAACAUUUUCAGAGAUCCAACUAUAUUCCAAGCUUGAUUUUUCCUUUUUCCGGUGAACUUUAGCCGGAAAUUACUCAACAUUUUCAGAGAUCCAACUAUAUUCCAAGCUUGAUUUUUCCUUUUUCCGGUGAACUUUAGCCGCGGCGAGUGUAGUCGAUUCACAACUCUAGCUUCGAAUUUGUUCGGGUGUAAAAGAGUAGAUCGAGACUCAAAUCCCUUGUUCACUGCACCCACAAAAGGUAUGGAUUUACAUUGGAGUACAACAAAUGACGAAGAUCAAGGACAUAAAAAACGGAGCUAGAAGUUAGACACAGGAAAUUGUAUUUACUUUACUCAGAUUAGGAAACACUUCAUGUUGUAUUCAUUUGAUACGUAAUAAAUGUUACACAAUUUUUUGUACUUUAUUUUGGGGAAAUAGAAUCUGUUUAAUUAAUCAAA